CAAGGACAUGUUGAGUAUUUAAGGAAUUUAUUGUGAUACGCUUUAAACUCCCACCAUACAGUUGCUGCUGCUGCUCUCCUGUCAACAGGAACAGUCUGUACAGUCAUGCUAUUUCACACGUUAGUUACAGUAAACGGCUGUUUCCCUCUCGAUAUUCAAACUUGUCCACUUCAGCCGAGCAUGAAAGCUUUCACUUUUUGUGAUAUUCCUUCUUUUUAUGAAUUGUUUUUCCACUCCAGGUUUUUUUGUGCCACCAGAAGAGAAAUAUUAGUCGGCUCAAAUCUCACUGACAGAACAAAACUGCCCCCCCCGUGGAAAUCCUAAGUUCAGAGCGGCAGAAUCCAGCAGGCCGUACACACUUCAGAGUGGGAGCUCAGAUAGGUGUGUUUGAUUUAUUGACAGGGAAGUGCCAGAGGGCGUGUCUGCAGGAGAGGCCGGGGCUGCAGAUAAGGAAAAUGGAUCACACAGCAAACAGAUCUGAAGAAGUGUGGAGCCUGAAGUCAAACUGUUACUAACCCCAAACAGUGGGAGUUAAUACAUUUAAAAAGAACAGGAACGCUGCCUCGACCUUUCACCCUCUUACAAAACAUUAACAGGAAGUGUGUUCGAGGGUCAGUGUUUCAUCACUUAGCAACAGCUGAUACAAACAGGCAGAAUACUUCUUCUAUGUUUGGGUUUAAAUGGGUCUUAAUGUACAGAGUACGUCUGUAUUAUUUUUGAACUCCGUUCUCCGAAAGAAGAACCUAUUUUAACCCUGAGCUGAGCCUCACAGGCUACAUGGCCAAAGAUAACGAGUGCGACGCUCCGUCACCUCUCUGUGAUCCUCCCUGAACAUGAUACCCUGAUUACAGGCAGAGGGCAGCGAGGGUCUGCAGACAAGACUUUACCCAGCCACACCCAUCAACCAGCCGGCUGUUAUCACUUCUAAAGUCUCCUGAGUGAGAUUUCAGCUUUUAAUAGAUUGUGAAUGACUUGUUUUAACAGAUGUUUCCUGCAGUUAAAGCACCAAAAACAACUAAAAUACUUUCUGUUGUAUCAGA